rnacentral:rRNA from 1 species
AGCGAACGCUGGCGGCAGGCCUAACACAUGCAAGUCGAACGAACCUUUCGGGGUUAGUGGCGGACGGGUGAGUAACACGUGGGAACGUGCCUUUAGGUUCGGAAUAACUCAGGGAAACUUGUGCUAAUACCGAAUGUGCCCUUCGGGGGAAAGAUUUAUCGCCUUUAGAGCGGCCCGCGUCUGAUUAGCUAGUUGGUUGAGGUAAUGGCUCACCAAGGCGACGAUCAGUAGCUGGUCUGAGAGGAUGAUCAGCCACAUUGGGACUGAGACACGGCCCAAACUCCUACGGGAGGCAGCAGUGGGGAAUCUUGCGCAAUGGGCGAAAGCCUGACGCAGCCAUGCCGCGUGAAUGAUGAAGGUCUUAGGAUUGUAAAAUUCUUUCACCGGGGACGAUAAUGACGGUACCCGGAGAAGAAGCUCCGGCUAACUUCGUG